UUUUUUUUUUUUUCUUUCUUUUUUUUUUUAGGGCCACACCUGAGGCAUAAGGAAGUUCUCAGGCCAGGGUUAGAAUCAGAGCUACAGCUGCCAGUCUAUGCCCCACCCACGGCAACGAUGGGUCCCUGACACACUGAUCAAGGCCAGGGAUCGAACCCUCAUCCUCAUGGAUCCUAGUCGGAUUUGUUUCCACUGAGCCAGAAAAGGAACUCCUGGAAAGAUGUUUUAUUGUAAUGCCGACACCCCAGCCCCACUCUGCAGAUUCUGAUGUAACCGGUCUCCGGUAGGGCUCUGACCACUGAGCAAGGCCGAGAGCCACGAUCCAUGUGGACGUUCAAGUUACCAAGAAAAGUGGCAAGGAUGACAGUGAGACAGGUGAAGGCGUUAAUGAUAGAGGAAGAACCAGGAGGUCUACAGAUGACGUUGACAAGGACAGCGGGGGGUGGGGUGGGGGGUUGGAAGACAAGAGCUUUAAAGGAGGAAGGCUUAUGAGAAAGGAGAGAAGAAAAGACGUCUGGACGUAAGAAUGGGGUCAGUGCAGGCCAUUUAUCCCACCUCCAGGGCCCAGCUACAUGGAGUGUAGGGUGGGGACCCGUGGAGUCCACCUGAGAGGCCAAGAGGGAAGCGGUGUCCUUGGGGGUCCAACAUAGAAUCGUCUAUGUAUAAGCUGAUCAGAAGACAGAUUUAGGGUCAGUGGCACGGAGAGAAAAAUGCUGGAGCCAAGGACAGUGGACGGAUGUGGGAGGGGAGCAAGCGGAACAAGUGACCCUUUCUCUUUGGGUUUAUCCGACAAGGGUGCCUGUCGUGACGCAGAGGAGGGGAGGGCAGGAGAGAAAAUGACCCGUGAGGGAGGCGUUGGAGCUCUCAUCCCCUUUACACAGCGCCGUUUACAUGUCAGGUAAAAACCCAACCGGCCUCUCCUGGACGGCAACUCUUUCUGCUCAGCCUGGUUCAUCUCUUCGUAGCAGGGAAGCAGCAGUGCAACCUUUUUAAUUAACAAGCCGUGUCUGUAUCCCACUGUACAUGUAUUUAACUGCUCAACGCACCCACCAGGUGCCUGUGGGGAAGGAGGAGAACUCUAAGAAGGGGGGGAGGGGGGAAUCAGAUAAAGGGUGUCAAAGGAACAGGUGCAGGCUUGUUAGUCACGGGGAAUGCAUAAAUCUUUGAAAUUAAUUUCCCUGAUGGUUCAUUUUUCAUUAACGUUUUCCUGGCCCAUAAAAAAAGGAACACUCUAUUCUCCUGCACCCCAGGGGACAAAGACAUAUUCUUGGAGAGAGAACCAGACUCAGACACUACUCAGAGGUUCUCAGAGACAGAACCCCAGCAUCCAGUCAGGGAGGAGCAGGACCCACUGGGAAGGGGGGGGGGGUGACCCUGGACCGGGAGGAAGAGACACAGAGGAUGCGUCUCCUUCGCGCCACCUGCUGGUUGACACGGGCAUGACAUUGGCGCCUCUGGUCUUCGGGUCCUUCCAACAGGGGAAAAAGAAAUGCAUCACAAGAUGCAUUACAAAAUGGAAAUAAACCAAAGUGGGGGGAGUGCUUAGUUAACUAAGCACUGAACGAGUAUGUAUUCGUUAAGCUUUGAGGGGUUUGCAUGUUUGAUUCUGGCAGAUAACAUUGAUUAACUGGUUAAAAUUAGAGUAAUUUUUCAAAGAGAAAGUAAGACAAUGUAAUUGGGAGGAUCCAAGGGGAGGCAAGGAAUUGGGGCAGACUGAGCUCAUUUAUUCUUUCUUUCUUUCAUCUGUUCAUCUAUUUAUCCCAUAGGUACUUUAUGAGCUCCUGGUGGAAUUUUAGGUGAAGUAGACAAGAAAAAUAUAAUUUCUGUCCACAGUGAACAUCCACGCUAGUGACGAUUUUAGAGGGAUGAACAGGUUGUGAGCAUCUUUCUUAGUAAUUUUGACAGUGGGGUUCACAUAGGUAACUAGCACACAGGAAAAAACUUGAUAUCUGUCAGCUAUCACCGCAUAAGAAACCAUCCCGAGAGGACACAAUACUUAGUGAUUGUCAGCAUACUCUGCUGGGGUGGCUCUGCUUCCAGCUGCAGGGCCACAAUGAUUCCAGUACCUGAGGUGACUCUCGGGGACCAGUGGUGACCCAGGGCAUAUUUCCCAUGGCCAUGACAGACGUGCAAGAGGGCAAGCCCAUUAAAAGCCUUUGCUCAAGCCAUUUCAGCUAACAUGCCAUUGGCCAAGGCAAGGCCCAAGGCCAAGUCCAGCAUCCAUGGGACGGAGCAGUCUCUUCCUAAACUUCCAGAUUCCAAGGCCUCAUCCCAGAUCAACUGAGGCCGACACUCCCAGGCUGGGGUCUGCACAUCUAACACAAGCCCCUCGAAUCCUCACAACACGAGUUCUCAACACAGCCCUCUCGGUUCUUCCGUUCUCUCUUCUUUCUCCUCUGAGCUCCUCUGCAGAACUUUCUGCAAGCCUCCUGCCCUUCAAAAAACAAUAGUAAUAAUAAAUGCACAAUCUCCAAAACAAUGUUUUUGGAGCAAGGACAUCCUGUCCACCCCUAUGCAUGUCCAAGCUCAGUCUGUUUCUUUUCAUUUAUCUAUUUAUUUUUAUGAUGAUUUUUUUUAUUAUAGCUGGUUUACAGUGUUCUGUCAAUUUUCUACUGUAUAGCAUGGUAACCCAGUUACACAUACAUGUAAAGAUUCUUUUUUCUCACAUUAUCAUGCUCCAUCCUAAGUGACUAGAUACAGUUCCCAGGGCUGCACAGCAGGAUCUUUAGGGCCGCACCUGUGGCAUAGGGAAGUUCCCAGGAUAGGGGUCGAGCUGCAGCUGCUGGCCUACACCACAGCCACAGCCACAGCCACAGCCACAGCCACAGCCAUGCUGGAUCCGAGCCGCACCUACAACCCACAGCACAGCUUGCAGCAACACCAGAUCCUUAACCCGCUAAGUGAGGCCAGGGAUCAAACCAAAUCCUCACAGACACUAUGUGGGUUCUUAAGCCACUGAGCCACAUGGGGAAACUCCAAAUUUGGUCCACUUCUGAAGCACCCUAGACAUCUAUCUCUUCUAGUUGUAAGCAUGAGCAUACGCCACUUAGAAGAACCAGCUCUGUCACCUAAAGGGACCACAGUGCAAAGGAGAAGCCAGGAGACAGCUAAACAGGCACCCCUCUCACAUGGAGGUCACCCCGAUGACAGGCACCAUGUCUUCUCAAUUAGAAAAACCGGGACGAAUCGAAAUGCGGGAGGCAGAUGGAGUUGUUCAACCUUCAAGACCAUGUUGCAUUUUCACAACUCCAGGCACAACCUUCCACACAGUUGGUCCUUUUUAGGGCGCCGGUGCUACAGGUAAAAUGGAUUCAAAAGCCCCCAUUUCUUGUCUCUGAAUCAUCCUUAUGCAAACCUUUGGCCCGUCUCCCAUGAUGACGGAUAGAGAAAAGCCUCGCUGAUUCCAAAACUGCCACGGCAGAAGGGAAAGGCUUGUAUCUAUCGGAGAGGUGUUAAAUGAGAAGACACAGGAGAGAAAUGCGCUUUGUCUUCUCUUCCAAGUGCACGCGCUAAAACGAAACAACAAAGCACUGCCGAGAAGGAGCCGGCUCAGACCUGCUUACCGCCUCCUAACCUAUUUACAUGUUGCUGAUCUGUCCCACUUCACCAGCCUCAAGUACAAAAUGAGGUCAGAGUCCUUUUUAAUAUUCAAAAUUCAAUUACUCUGGGAGCAUAAAUUGGCUCAACCUUUUUGGAGGGCAAUUGGAGAGCAGCUCCCCAAACUUGAAAUGUGCUCCGCUUUGAAUGCACGAACGCUUCUAGGAAUCCCUCCUACAGAAAUAUUUACCCCAAUACCAAAAGAUCUAAGAGUCUGUUAAAAUAUGUUUGCUGCAGCGUUGCAUGGAAAAGUCAGCAAGGAAGCGGGAGGAACUUGACUGCCGAUUCUAUUCACAGGGGGACUGGCUGGAAAGAAUGAGGAGGGUAUAAAAAGUUCUUGUUCCAGAAAACUUCCUAGACAAUCGUCCAGGGAUAAGAGAAAGUCACGUAACCACACAGACAGCACAAUGACAUUGGUAUUUAAAAAUACACUCUCUGUAUCUAUUUAUACCUAUAGAUAAGUCUACACCUUCAUCUAUGUCUGUGUCUUUAUCCAAAUCUGUACCUACAUAUAUAGAAAGAGAGGUGUCCACAUCUAAGCUAUAGCCAUAGCUGUCUAUCUAUAUCUACAUCUGUUUCUAUCUGGGUCUAUAUCUAUAUUCAUGUUUAUAUAAGAGUCGGAAAAAGAAAAUAUCAUCAAGAGACAAGGUGAAAGGAAACUUUCAAAAAUCACAAAUGAUUUUGUCUUGGAGUUUUUUCAUAUAUUUGGGUGUUACUGAUGUAGUUUGCAGAUUCACAUGGCCUUGAGCCAUGUCCUAUGUCCCAGGCAAGGUCUUUCUUCUGGCCCCAAGGUCCCCCGCUGUGAUCGCACUGGGAAUGCCAGUCCCACCAGCAGGACGGGAGAGAGAAAUAGGGCCACUCAGUCAGUGCAGCGCGGACGAGUCUGCCCGGGCUCAGCCAGAGAACUGCUGCCCGCAGCCCGGGGCCGGCUCUGUCUCCUAAAGGAAGACACCCAUUUGGGGCAUAGACCACGUGGUAGGUUAGGGGCUCAGACUCAGGGGGCUCCUUCCCAGAGCGUCGGUGUUUCCCGGACCUCCCCGUGCGGUGGUGGGGCCUCACUGGUGUUGGCCCCUGCAGUAGCCAAGACACAGCUGGACCAGAAAGACGAGGCUCCCUUGACCUGCGUGAGCCAUACCCAAGGACCAGAGAAACAGGGUCACCCCAGCCCAGAAAGGCAAGAGCACUGAGCCAUGACCUCGUCAGGCCUGGGGUCACAGACUCCCCAGCCUCGUGGGAAGGAACCCACAGGGACUCUGCAGACGGAGGUGAUGGCAGGUCCACCAGGCAGUGAGCUGAGGGCUCAAUCCAGGGAUGACGGUACCAUGUCCUAACUUCAGAGGUUGUGAGCCGAGGUCCUUACACUACACAAUGCAUGAACACACACACGUGUGCACACCAGCGCUCAAGACUUGCAAGGGCCUAUCUCAAAAGCAGACUGUGGCUCAGCGGGUUAUGAACCCAACUAGUAUCCAUGAGGACUUGGGUUCCAUCCCUGGGGUUUAGGACCCAGUGUUGCCAUGAGCUGCAGUGUAGUUCAAAGUUGUGGCUCGGAUCUGGUGUUGCUAUGGCUGUGGCUGGGCUGUAGGCCUCAGCUGCAGCUCCAAUUGGACCCCAGCCCAGGAACUUCCAGAUACCGCAGGUGUAGCACAUUAAAAAACAAAAACAAAAAACAAAAAAACAGAUGCUGAGACAGAAAUUCAAGCGGAUUGUUGCUUCUCUGGGAUAGGAUCCCAGGAGACAGUCAGGGGAAUAAGAAAUGAGAGCGGGCAGAGCCGUCAGUGCUGCUGUCACUGUGUGCCCCACCCAGGAGCCGGGUGCUGGUCCACCAGCUCCUGUCAAUCCCUGGGGGAAGGAUGUUCCCUGGGGAGACGGGCAUUACCCCCUGUGCUGGUUUCCUGUGGCCACCGAACGCAGUGGCACACACAUUGGCAGCGUCAACAACAGACACUUGUUGCCUCCCGGUCCUGGAGGCUGCAAGUCCAAAGUCAAAGGGCUAAAAGUGUUGGUUGCUUCCGAGGGCUGGGAGGGAAACUCCAUCCCCUGAGUCUCUUCUCGUGUCCAGGGGUUCGCUGCGAUCCUGGGCGUUCCUUGGCUUGUAGAGGCCUCCCCAGAUCUCCGCCUUCACCUCCACAAAGUGCCUCUGCUGUGCACAUGUCCGCAACCAAAUUCCCCUUAUUUAAUAAAAGCAAAAUCCUACUGGACGAGGGCCCACCCUAAGGACCUCAUCAUCUGCAAGGUCCCAAUUUCCCAAUAAGGUCACAUUCACAGGGACAAGAAGAGGACUUCAAUGCGAUUCAACUCAUAGCGGGCCCCUGGCUCUUGCUGCCACACACAGGCCAGCAAGGAAAGCCCGAGGCAGAGUCCCUGGUGUCUCAGGUGCUGGAAGAUUGACGACCCCGGCAGGCCAAGGGGACCUGAGCAAGACACCAACAGCAUCUGCUCCAGCCUCUGCGCUCCUGAGCCACACUCCCCCGGCUGCACUUCCAACGCAGCACAAAUCGGGCAAGAGCUGAAAAGGCCAUCAACCCCUCAAGCAUGACUAAAAGAUGAAGCAUCAUGCCUUCAGACCAAAACCCGAGUGUUCGUUCGGCUCAGCUGCCAGGCGGUUAUCUGCCCAGGAAUGGGAAGUGCCUCCUAAUGGCCCUUCAAAUCAUUUCAUUAAAAGCUGCCGUGAUGUCUACAGCCGAAGUCGGGUCGUGCUGGGAAGGCCAUUAGGUUAAUCAAAACACGGGGACAGCUCGCCAUCUACCCCUAAUUAACAAAUCAGGUCCCGCUGCUGACUCUGCAAAACGGAGAGCUGGCCGUAAACCCUCGGGGUGGUCAGGACGCUGGGAGCCCCCUUCCACCACUGACAGCUGCUCGGAACGAAGGAGGACCUCCAUGCCUAGGCAGGAGGAUUAUUCCCACAGUGAGCUUGCUGGGAGGCCUCCAGGAUGGCUCUUUUACCACCCAAUACCUACCAUCCUCUAGCAUUC
rnacentral:lncRNA from 1 species